UACGAAGGGUGCUAGCGUUGUUCGGAUUCACUGGGUUUAAAGGGUGCGUAGGAGGGCAGGUAAGUCAGUGGUGAAAUCUCCGAGCUUAACUUGGAAACUGCCGUGGAUACUAUCUGCCUUGAAUAUUGUGGAGGUGAGCGGAAUAUGUCAUGUAGCGGUGAAAUGCUUAGAUAUGACAUAGAACACCAAUUGCGAAGGCAGCUCGCUACACAUAUAUUGACUCUGAGGCACGAAAGCGUGGGGAUCAAACAGG
rnacentral:rRNA from 1 species